UACGUAGGGGGCAAGCGUUGUCCGGAAUUAUUGGGCGUAAAGCGCGCGCAGGCGGCUUUGUAAGUCUGUCGUUUAAGUUCGGGGCUCAACCCCGUAUCGCGAUGGAAACUGCAAGGCUUGAGUGCAGAAGAGGAAAGUGGAAUUCCACGUGUAGCGGUGAAAUGCGUAGAGAUGUGGAGGAACACCAGUGGCGAAGGCGACUUUCUGGUCUGUAACUGACGUUGAGGCGCGAAAGCGUGGGGAGCAAACAGGA
rnacentral:rRNA from 1 species